rnacentral:rRNA from 1 species
UUCCUUGGAAAAGGACAGCUGAGAGAGUGAAACUCCCGUCCGCCUGGUAGAAUGAGUCUUUGCCAACGAGUCGAGUUGUUUGGGAUUGCAGCUCUAAUUUGGUGGUAAAUUCCAUCUAAAGCUAAAUAUUGGUGGGAGACCGAUAGCGUACAAGUACCGUGAGGGAAAGAUGCAAAGAACUUUGAAAAGAGAGUUAAAGAGUACCUGAAAUUGCUGAAACGGAAGCGAAGGAAACCAGUGUUUGUUGGUUCAUAUUUCCCUGGCCACUUGUGGUUUGGGCG